AGAGCGAACGCUGGCGGCAGGCCUAAAACAUGCAAGUCGAACGGACCCUUCGGGGUUAGUGGCGGACGGGUGAGUAACACGUGGGAACGUGCCUUUUGGUUCAGAACAACUCAGGGAAACUUGAGCUAAUACUGAAUAAGCCCUACGGGGGAAAGAUUUAUCGCCAUUAGAGCGGCCCGCGUUGGAUUAGCUAGUUGGUGAGGUAAAGGCUCACCAAGGCUACGAUCCAUAGCUGGUCUGAGAGGAUGAUCAGCCACACUGGGACUGAGACACGGCCCAGACUCCUACGGGAGGCAGCAGUUAGGAAUCUUGCGCAAUGGGCGAAAGCCUGACGCAGCCAUGCCGCGUGAAUGAUGAAGGUCUUAGGAUUGUAAAAUUCUUUCAGCGGGGAAGAUAAUGACUGUACCCGCAGAAGAAGCUCCGGCUAACUUCGUGCCAGUAGCCGC
rnacentral:rRNA from 1 species